GUAAUGGGAGUAGCCGUACAAAAACCAUCUGGUGGAGAAAGGACGUGCACAAACACACGUAUGGUAUGACCAAUAAACCAUGACAAGGGGAUGCAUGAGGCACAAUUCUAAUGAUGUUUUUAAAGUGGAACUGACAGUGUUUUAGAAACAUUCAAUCUUAUUAAAAUAUGUUCAUAUACAACACCAGGAAGAAUAUGACACCUUUUUUUCUGACAAGCAAGCACUUAGAUAUGGUCAUUUUCACGUUUUCAUAAAUUCAUAGAAUGUUUGGGAACAUUUGGCAUUUUGGUAAGGCAUAUGUGAAAAUUCUAUAUUAAUAUAGAGUGGGAAUGCAACCUUACAUUUGGACAAUUAAUAGACACUGCAGUAAAUAAAACUGAAUAAAAACAUCUGUCCUGUCCAGGACCGGAGUGCUCCAUAGCCAAUCAAAGCUACAGUAGGCCUAUAUGCAAAUUAGCAAUUUGCCACAUGGGCCUGCCAUCAUUCACUUUGAACUGAACUGUGUGUUUACAGGCUGUAGCAACAGCGUGACUUUAGAUCAUUAGAACACAUUCGCCAAAAGCCACAAAAUACACCUGAAAGGAUUUCUGCAUUUGGGAACUUCACAGUCCUAUUGAUCAAACAACCAUGAAAAGCCGUGACAACCCCCAGCCUGACGAGUGAUGACACAGCAGUGUAUUACUGUGCCCGAAACACACAGUGAGAGAGAGUGUCUUGUCUCAUCGCUGCAACUCCCCAACGGGAUUGGGAGAGGCGAAGGUCGAGUCAUGCAUCCUCUGAAGCAUGACCAGGCAAACCUCACUCCUUAACACCCGCCCAGUUAACCCGGAAGCCCCAAUGUGUCGGAGGAAACACCAUUCAACUGACGACCGAAGUCAGCCUGCAGGCACCCCACACGCCACAAGGAGUCUCUAGAGUGCGAUGAGCCAAGUAAAGCCCUCCCCGGCCAAACCCUCCCCUAACCCGGACCAAUUGUGUGCCGCCCUAUGGGAUUCCCGAGAUCAAACCCGGGUCUGUAGUGAUGCCUCAAGCACUGCGAUGCAGUGCCUUAGACCGCUGCACCACUCGGGAGGACCAUGUUCCAUUAUUUUAGCAGUUAAUUUAUACCUGCCUCUUUUUAUUAUGCAAAUAUUACUUCUCUGGACUUUCUGAUGCGCCGCCCUCAGGUGGUGAAGGUAAGAAACAACAUCUCCACCCCGCUGAUCCUCAACACUGGGGCCCCAGAAGGGUGCGUUCUCAGCCCUCUCCUGUACUCCCUGUUCACCCAUGACUGCGUGGCCAUCCACGCUUCCAACUCAAUCACCAAGUUUGCAGACGACACUACAGUGGUAGUAGUGGAGAUGGUGGAGAUGUUGCCUGAUUACCAACAACGACGAGACAGCCUACAGGGA